AUACGUAGGGGGCGAGCGUUGUCCGGAAUGAUUGGGCGUAAAGGGCGCGUAGGCGGCGCGGUAAGUCUGGAGUGAAAGUCCUGCUUUCAAGGUGGGAAUUACUUUGGAUACUGCCGCGCUUGAGUGCAGGAGAGGUUAUCGGAAUUCCCGGUGUAGCGGUGAAAUGCGUAGAGAUCGGGAGGAACACCAGUGGCGAAGGCGGGUAACUGGACUGCAACUGACGCUGAGGCGCGAAAGUGUGGGGAGCAAACAGGAUUAGAUACCCUGGUAGUCCACACUGUAAACGAUGAAUGCUAGGUGUAAGAGGUAUCGACCCCUUUUGUGCCGGAGUCAACACAAUAAGCAUUCCGCCUGGGGAGUACGGCCGCAAGGUUGAAACUCAAAGGAAUUGACGGGG
rnacentral:rRNA from 1 species